UUGAUUCUUCAACAAAAUACACAUCAUUAAAGGAGAUUUUAGCCUCGUCAAAGACAGAAUUAACAUAUAACAUUUCGAUAAAACAUCCCCUCGUGAAGCAGGCUGCAUGGUUUUAUUUGCAGCCAAUGCCGAGAACCACCAAAAAUUCCUCAAAGAAACGUUUGGUUUGGAAGCUAUGGGAAAAAAUGCCUCGAGAAUUGAAGAAACCCGUCGAGGUUUUUUUAGGGUUCAUCAACCAGCAAGUGGUAGUGAAGAUUACAGGUGCAUUUAAAAAGAAGUGAUGAUCGAAAUAUGGCAAUUUUUGGAGGGUCCUUGUCUAGCCGUGUUUUAGUAUGAAGGCGAAGGGACGUACCAUUACGUUUGAUUAGUUUAUUGACUGGUAAUUAGUUACAUUUUUGUUAAUAUUUAUCAUUUUCUUGUUAAUUAGCAGCCAAAAAAUGUGACAUUCUAACUAAUCUGGAGCAAGUUUUUCUUGAUGCUUCGUAGAUUCGGUAUGGGUUUUUAGUACUCGAAAAUUUUAAAUUAAUUUAGAUUUUCCAAUGUAUAAGUAGACAUUUACUUUAGCGCAGUUUUGAUAAGCAAGUAGUUGUCUGUCUAUGUUUCUCAUUUAUGUUUAUCAUUUUUUUUU
rnacentral:lncRNA from 1 species